UUCAAAAAUCUCCGUCUUUAGACAUGAACUGAUAUCAUCAAGCUCUUUAGAUAUUUCAUUGAUGCUUAUACCAUCAAUAUUGACUGAGAUAACGUCCAUUAUUAACUCUUU